rnacentral:tRNA from 1 species
GCAGGCAUAGUUUAAUGGCAAAACAUCAGCUUCCCAAGCUGAGGUUGCGAGUUCGAUUCUCGUUGCCUGCU